GGCCAUCUAACAUCCGAACCACACAACUUUGUCUCACCCGCUUUAAUCAUCUUUUGGGUUCUGUCAAGAACAACAAGGCUUGAAAAUGUUGAAAAACUGUUCCCUACAAAGAUAUCGGAUCUUAAACAGACUUCAUAGUCGAUAGCAGAUUGAAAUAGAUAUGAUUGCUUCUUGUAAAUGUCAAAAACACCUAGUGUUUUCUUCUCAUAGGGAUGCAAGCCAUCCUUCCAGCCAUUCAAUACAGUAUUAUCCUCCAGAAGAGUAUCGGCAACAGCAAGAUAAACGACAACAGGAGUUUUAAGACCCGCGAUGUUUCCCACUCGGGCCAUAAUCUCUUCCUUACUACUACAAAUUUCACUAAUAUUUAAUCUCUGCUCCAGCUUCUUACAGUGAAUCAUCCAAUCCUUUUCUAUUCUCAUGUGCACAGCUACAAAGGGAACCGGUUGUGAUGAAGAGCUUGGCAUUGCAUUCUUACUUCUAACCUCCAUUCCUAUUUCUCUAAUUUUUGAGACAACUUUAUCUGCUUCCAUUGAUAUCUCCUCUACUAAAGCUAAGCAUUCGAAAACCUUCGCAUAGUCUCUAGUUGGCCAAUGGUCAUGCCACAAAAAAGGGUUCUUCCCUACUAUCCGAAUGAUCUCACGUGCAUCAUAUGGAUGCUUACUAAUUUGAUUCAACUGUUCCAAAUCUUUUUC
rnacentral:misc_RNA from 1 species